AGGCAUUGCAACCAUUCCCAAAGCACCCUGCAGCCAGUUGCACAGUGGGAUAGCUACCACAGUGCACUGCUUUCUUUGUCGUUGCAAGAGCUGCUAGUGUGGAUGCGCUCCAGCCAGGGCUGUCCCUGGGGGGUGCGGGGCCUAGGACAAAUCAGUCUCCUUGCCGGCCGCCAGGCCGUCCCUUGCCGCCUCCUCGCUGUCCGCACACCCGCCUGCCGCUCGUCUCUUCACCCACCUGGUUGACUCUAGCCUCCCCAUUAGUUUCCUUGCCACCUGUCCAGCACUCCACUAGUCCGCUGCUCUCCUCCUCGCCGUCCAGCCGCCCACCCCUCCCCCUCCUUACUCCCCUUCCACCUGCCUGCCACUCACCUCUUCACCCCGCUCACCCUCCCACCUCACCUGAAUAUUGGGACAAAUGGCAUCCCGAUUGUACAUCGGUCAGGACGUGGGACAAAGGGCUGAAUAUCGGGACAGUCCCUAUUUUAUCAGAGCACGGGGGCCCCCAAAACGUAGGGCCUGGGGCGGUUGCCCCGAUUUGCCCUACUCAAGGGACGGCUCUGGCUCCAGCGACACAAGGAGCACUUCUGACCCCUGGACGGCACUCAGACACUGCUCCCACUCCACACAAACCAGCUCGGACCUGCAAAGUGAGAUCACCCCUUUCCCCUCGCCCCGAGGAUUCCUCCUGAGUCGCGGACUUCGCUUAGCUCUCACUGAGCCCUGAGGAUCACUAGCACGUGUGGCACCAGGCUGCUGGCAAUCUCGGUGACAAGAACUCACCCUUGUGCACCUUCAUGGACCCAGCCUCCAGCCCUUAGCACGGGCAUGAGGCAGACUAGGCCCCCAAGUUUUACAUGCACCUCUCUUCGUAUCACAGACACAUCUCUGCCAAGCUGCUCCCAGUCAUCCACAGCUGACACACAUGCAGGAAAAUGCUGGUAUUCCGAUCCGUGGAACACAACACAAACGGUGGCAUGUUCUUCUUAGUCGUUCUUCAUAGCUGUAGCUUUCUAUGGCCAGAAAGGACUAUCUACAAUACAGGCCAGGAAUUUCAUCCACUUACAGCUGUACUGAGCUCAAUACCUUGUAUUUGACUAAUCAGCCUCCACAAAGGCAUCCAAUCUUCAUUGGAAGACUUCCUGAGAUGGAGGAGCCUCCACUUCCAUUGGUAGUUUGUAAACCUUUGCACCAGCCUUACUGAACCAUUUCCAGUGGCUAUUGCCAGCUCCAGAGUUAGGGAAGGGGCAAAGUUAAGGUUGUGUUGCAAUUGUGGCAUGUUCUUGACCUCUGCAUGGCUGUAGUUUAUGGGUAUUUAAUUACCUUUAAUUUUUUAAUUGAUUCCCCCACCCCACCUCCCAUAACUAUGUCUACCCUAGAGCUUUUCCCAGCAUAGCUGUGUUGGUCAGCGGGGUGAUUUUUCACACCCCCCAUCAGACAGAGCUAGGCUAGCAAAAAGUUUAAGUGCAGACUGGGCAAGAAAGUGGGUUUUUUAGUUUAGAGAACUUUAAACUAUUAAUCUUAACACAAACAUUUUGGUAUAAAAGGGCAAAGCUUCCAAGAGGAACUUCUGCCGAAUGCAAGAAAAAUGCACAACACACGUUGUGUGAAAGCUAUCGGCGCUCGGGCUCAGGCUUCAGUUCAUGGGUGUCGUUCAGGUUCAGUGGCCGCAGUCCAUCCCCUUGAACAAACCUUUCCCUGGCCCAGCAGAUUGCUGGCAACCCUCGUGCAGUUCAUAGGGACAUAGUCUGGCAGCACGUGUGCAUUUCCAGAUCAGCGACUGCUCAGUUUGGCUUGUGCUGCUCUGAGAUUCCAGAUUCAUUAGCUAUUGGCUUUCAGAGCUGGUUUCCUGCAGAAGACAGGGGUGUCCUGUAUUAACAGAUCAACGCCAAGUGACUGUGAUCAGUCCACGGACAAUUAGAACCACAGUUUCAGCCCCAGCUGUGUGCAAAAAACAUUUCAAGACCAAGAUGAUUUUUGUCAAAAGCUGCCUAGGGUGAUGGGGCGGAAUCUCAGGAACAUCUUGAACCAGUCACCCCAUACUGGGACCAGUAACCCGUCCAUGAAUGACCAUAGAAACCAGCACAUUUCAAGGCCAUCUGAAUGCACCUGUGGAAUUUAGGGUAGUUAGAAUAGUUGGUUUUUAUGCAGAAAAUGAUGCUUCUGUGGACUAGCUAUUGCCUCUGGGGGAGGUGGAUGACCUACCCCGGCAGCAGAACCUUCCCGUUGCCGAGUAUCUACACUGAUCCACUACAGCACUCCAGUCAUGGUGUCUCAAGUGUAGACAAGCCCUGAGAUAUGACAUUCGGUGACACCCCUCGUCCCUCCUAUUCCUCACUGCGCUGAAUCCCACCAGCCCAUGCUCACCGGUCCCGGCUCUCCUACAACUCCCCCGUUCUCUCGGGGUUUCUCUCUGGGAUGAAGAAGCAGGGUCCAGGGUAACUUCCCCUCUGGCUGGGGCCUUAACUUCCUGGAACACAGAGUUCCUGUCUCUGUGUUUUAGGAGCCCCUUUGCUGAGCAGUGUCUGGCUCUGUGUGUUCCCAGCAGAGAUGGGGAGAGUUAAAUCCCUCCUGCACCUGGGGAGCUGCCCCCAGCCUUUCCCUGUGGUAAAAUGGGCUGGGGUUAAAGUAAUAGAAAUGUCCCACAAAUUCCCUGAUCUCCCUUGUUUUCUUUCCCCUGAGCAGGGUGUCCAGUUUCCAAACCUGAUGUGAUCUCCCAGCUGGAACGAGGGGAGGAGGCAUGGGUCCCGGAUCUUCAGGGCUGUGUGGAAGGAGAGAUCCCCAGAGGUGCCUGCACAGGUGCUGGGAUGGUGAGUGAGGAGAAGAAGCAGAAUCCUCAGCAGGAAGAUUCUGAGCAAGUGGCACCACAUGGGGGAUUAUCGCACGGCUCCAGAGGGAAUGUGUCCCGGCAUUGUGUGCAGGGCAAAGCCUGUGAGAGUCAGUACAGGCCAGAGAGGUCGCAGAGAAACCAGCCAGCGGAGAAAGUAGGUAACUCCAUUAAUUGUCAGGGAACUCACCAGGACCUUCUGGAAACCACAGCCCAGCCGAGAAUACCCACAGGAGAGAGAAAAAACACAUGCACUGAGUGUGGAAAACAUUUCACUAACCACUCAGGCCUUUUAAAACAUCAGAGAAUCCACACAGGAGAAAGACCCCAUGAAUGCAGUGAGUGCUAGAAAACCUUCACUCUGAGCUCUACCCUUAGUAACCAUCAGAGGAUCCACACAGGAGGGAAACGCUAGGAAUGCUGUGAGUGUGGGAAAAGCUUCACUGUCAACUCAGACCUUAUUGGACAUCAGAAUAUCCACAAGGGAAAGAUACCUCAUCAGUGCUCUGAGUAUGGAAAAACAUUCACACAGAGUUCAGCACUAAUUACACAUCAGAGGAUCCACACUGGAGUGAGACCCUAUGAGUGCCAUAAAUGCAGAGAAAAAUUCAGUGUCAAGACAGCCCUCAAUACACAUCAGAGGAUCCACACGGGAGAGCGCCCCUAUGAAUGGCGUGAAUGCGGGAAAGUGUUCUGUCAGAAAUCAACCCUAAUUACACAUCAGGCAAGGCAUACAGGAGAGAGACCCUAUCAGUGCAGUGGUGCUUCAUGAACGGCAAGGCCCCGAAUCCCAAGGACUAACAAUGGCUGCAGUAGACUGUAUUGCAUCCAGUUUUCACCCCUCCUCUCCACCACUUCAGAAAGGCUGUGGACAAAUUGGAUCGAGUCCUGCGGAGGGCAACGAAAAUGAUCAGGGGGCUGGGGCACAUGACUUACGAGGAGAGGCUGAGCGAAUUGGGCAUGUUUAGUCUGCAGAAGAGACGAGGGAUGGGCAUUUGAUAGCAGUCUUCAACUACCUGAAAGCAACGGGGGAUUGCAAAGACUAUGGAGCUCGACUGUUCUCAGGGGCAGCAGAUGACAGAACAAGGAGCUCUAUGGUCUCUAGUUCAAGUGGGGCAGGGCUAGGUUGGAGAUGAAGGAAAACAAUUUCAGGGGGAGGGUGGUUACCUCGGGAGGUGGUGGAAUCUCCAUCCUUUGCAGUUUUUCAGGUUCGUCUUGACAAAGCCCUGGCUGGGACGAUAUAGUUGGGGUUGGUCUGGCUUUGAGUAGGGGAUUGGACUAAAGGAAUUCCUGAGGUCGCCUCCAACACUCAUCUUCUAUGAGUCUAUGACUGAAGUAUGUGGUUACAAUCUACUUAGAUAGGAAAGGUAACUAUUAAUGCGUAGGUCAUAUACGGGGGAGGGUUGUCACCGUUUUUCCAUCAGUCACAAUUGUUUCUGUUUAUAUCGCUAUCCCUUGUUAAAAAAUGUCUUUUUGUUUCCUAACUGUACUCAAGUGCUGUGUGUGAUACAGGAGCAGUGGUCUAGAGUAAAAUUAGUAACCUGGGGCUAGACCAUUGCUUUGGGUACAGAGGAUCUGGAUUUCCCUGAGGAUUUGAAGACACUCAGGCACGACGUUGUGUCUACUAUCAACUGUCAGGGCUUAUGUAGCUUAGAGGAGGGUGCUUGAGCUGCUGACCGUCUGGAUGAGUUUGGUCGCUAACAUCCAGCUGACAAAGUGGAAGGACGUAACAAGGAGACCCACCAUCCUCAGAACCCUGAGACGGUCACGAUAUACCUGUACAGUGAGCCACACGUCAAUUGCGCACAGGGAAGGCACCCCAUAGCGGAGUUCCCUGAAUCCAAAUAGACCUAAAUCUCUGCCCUAUGAAAUCAUGGCACACGUGCUCUUUCCGCAGUGAAAGCAUGUAAAGGAUGCAAGCUUUCUGUGAUAAAUUGGUCACCGAGAGCUGUUGUUCUUUUCUCAGCGCUACUGUAUAUUUGAAAUGCUACCGAGGAAGCUAGGGUGAUGACUGACGCGAGGAAAAUUGUUUGCCAACUCCACUGCCCAUUGAUUACAGUCCCAAAGAAUACCUGGGUUAGCUGGACACUAAUCAUCCUUCACUGUUCGGCUCCAAAGUUUCAGGAGGCAAAGACAGAGCGCGAGAGCGUCUUCAGAUUACUUUCCUUUUCUGUGACUCACACACUGUUGCCUUGUGGGGAACAAGGACUUUCAUGCAGUGAAGAAAUGAGGGGAACCAAUGAGGCAAUGGGUGUGUCGGGCUCCAAAUUCAGAUUUCAGGAUACAUGAAUGUUGAGAGUGUCUGAUGCUAUGGCAGAACAAUUAAGCUGAUGGUGCAGUUGCUUCGCUGUAGCACUUCGUUUGCAGAUGCUCUAAGCCAAGGGGUGAGAGCUUGCCCAUCUGCUUGAUUAGUCCACCCCUGCAAGUGGCGAUAGCUCCGCUGAGGUUAGAUGCUCUCCGUCGACGUACCGUUGUCUUCACAAGAAGCUAGGGAUUUGUCAAUCCUCAGUAAUGUAAUUAGACUGAUUAAUGGCUUUGGUGUAGACUAGAUGUUGGCUUUCUCUUGUGUUUUAUUGAUUUCCAUCUCCUCUAUCUUCUCCUACUCUGAAAGAUUAAAAAGUAUGAAAAUAUUA